GAUGAACGCUAGCGGCAGGCCUAAUACAUGCAAGUCGGACGGGAUCCAUUGAUAGCUUGCUAUCAAUGGUGAGAGUGGAGCACGGGUGUGUAACGCGUGAGCAACCUGCCUCCAUCAGGGGGAUAGCCUCUCGAAAGAGAGAUUAACACCGUAUAAUAUCUACAGAUAGGAUGUUCGGUUGAUUAAUUCUUUAUAGGAUGGAGAUGGGCUGGCGUCGCAUUAGUUAGUGGGUAGGGUAACGGCGUACCAAGGCGACGAUGUUAAGGGGCCCGGAGAGGAGGAACACCCGCACUGGUACAGAGACACGGACCAGACGCCUACGGGAGGCAGCGGUAAGGAAUAUAGGUCAAUGAGCGGGAGCCUGAACCAGCCGUGCCGCGUGCAAGAUGACUGCACUAUGAGUUGUUGACUGCUUUUGAGCAGGAUGAAGCCUAAAUACGAGUAUUUAGCUGAAGGUACUGGAAGAAUAAGGAACGGCUAACUCCGUG
rnacentral:rRNA from 1 species